CGGGGCGUGGCUCAGCCUGGUAGAGCACCCGGUUCGGGACCGGGGGGUCGGAGGUUCAAAUCCUCUCGCCCCGACCA
rnacentral:tRNA from 2 species